rnacentral:rRNA from 1 species
UGGGGAAUUUUCCGCGAUGGGCGAAAGCCUGACGGAGCAAUACCGCGUGAGGGAGGAAGGCUUUUGGGUUGUAAACCUCUUUUCUCAAGGAAGAAGAUCUGACGGUACUUGAGGAAUCAGCAUCGGCUAACUCCGUGCCAGUAGCCGCGGUAAUACGGAGGAUGCAAGCGUUAUCCGGAAUGAUUGGGCGUAAAGCGUCUGCAGGUGGCUAUGCAAGUCUGCUGUUAAUGAGUGGAGCUCAACUCCAUAAGGGCAGUGGAAACUCCAUAACCAGAGUACGUUCGGUGUAGAGGGAAUUCCUGGUGUAGCGGUGAAAUGCGUAGAUAUCAGGAAGAACACCGGUGGCGAAAGCGCUCUACUAGGCCGUAACUGACACUGAGAGACGAAAGCUAAGGGAGCGAAUGGGAUUAGAUACCCCUGUAGUCC